GGAAAUGUGCCUCAGUGGUAGAGUGCUUGCCUAGCAUGCAUGAAGCCCUGAGUUCAAUUCCUCAGUACCA
rnacentral:tRNA from 1 species